rnacentral:rRNA from 1 species
GGUGACGAGCGGCGGACGGGUGAGUAAUGUCUGGGAAACUGCCUGAUGGAGGGGGAUAACUACUGGAAACGGUAGCUAAUACCGCAUAACGUCGCAAGACCAAAGUGGGGGACCUUCGGGCCUCAUGCCAUCAGAUGUGCCCAGAUGGGAUUAGCUAGUAGGUGGGGUAAUGGCUCACCUAGGCGACGAUCCCUAGCUGGUCUGAGAGGAUGACCAGCCACACUGGAACUGAGACACGGUCCAGACUCCUACGGGAGGCAGCAGUGGGGAAUAUUGCACAAUGGGCGCAAGCCUGAUGCAGCCAUGCCGCGUGUAUGAAGAAGGCCUUCGGGUUGUAAAGUACUUUCAGCGAGGAGGAAGGCAUUAAGGUUAAUAACCUUAGUGAUUGACGUUACUCGCAGAAGAAGCACCGGCUAACUCCGUGCCAGCAGCCGCGGUAAUACGGAGGGUGCAAGCGUUAAUCGGAAUUACUGGGCGUAAAGCGCACGCAGGCGGUUUGUUAAGUCAGAUGUGAAAUCCCCGGGCUCAACCUGGGAACUGCAUUUGAAACUGGCAAGCUUGAGUCUUGUAGAGGGGGGUAGAAUUCCAGGUGUAGCGGUGAAAUGCGUAGAGAUCUGGAGGAAUACCGGUGGCGAAGGCGGCCCCC